rnacentral:piRNA from 1 species
UGUUGUCAAGAGUUGAUGCUAGCGUUGC